rnacentral:lncRNA from 1 species
GUGACUGUCCUCUCUGUGUCCCCAUCAGGUGACUGUCCUCUCUGUGUCCCCCAUCAGGUGACUGUCCUCUCUGUGUCCCCAUCAGGUGACUGUCCUCUCUGUGUCCCCAUCAGGUGACUGUCCUCUCUGUGUCCCCAUCAGGUGACUGUCCUCUCUGUGUCCCCAUCAGGUGACUGUCCUCUCUGUGUCCCCAUCAGGUGACUGUCCUCUCUGUGUCCCCCAUCAGGUGACUGUCCUCUGAGUUCACCCCCCUCUUCCAGGAUGAACGGCUACCCCCCUCCCUCCUUCCCCCAGGGAGGGUUCGACUCAUACGCCUCGCAACUCAAUGGUCAUGGUUCCCAGUCCACAGAGCCUCCAGAUUGCAACGCCAGGUCCAACACCAAGUCCAUCUCUAAAACCCUUUACGAACAACGGAAGAACUACACCAAAAACAGCAUCAACAGCAUGACUAACACCUCCCAGUACCACGUAGAGGUCAGUCUACAUACAGCAUGACUACCACCCUCACAGUACCACGUAGAGGUCAGUCUACUACUGUACAUACAGCAUGACGAACACCUCCCAGUACCACGUAGAGGUCAGUCUACUACUGUACAUACAGCAUGACGAACACCUCCCAGUACCACGUAGAGGUCAGUCUACUACUGUACAUACAGCAUGACGAACACCUCCC